UACAGAGGUCCCAAGCGUUGUUCGGAUUCACUGGGCGUAAAGGGUGCGUAGGUGGCGAGGUAAGUCGGAUGUGAAAGCUCGGAGCUCAACUCCGAAAUGGCAUUGGAAACUACCUUGCUCGAGGGUUGGAGGGGGACUGGAAUGCUUGGUGUAGCAGUGAAAUGCGUAGAUAUCAAGCGGAACACCAGUGGCGAAGGCGAGUCCCUGGACAACUCCUGACACUGAGGCACGAAAGCUAGGGGAGCAAACAGG
rnacentral:rRNA from 1 species